rnacentral:rRNA from 1 species
GAUGAACGCUGGCGGCGUGCCUAAUACAUGCAAGUCGAGCGAACGGACGAGAUGCUUGCUUUUCUGAUGUUAGCGGCGGACGGGUGAGUAACAUGUGGAUAACCUACCUAUAAGACUGGGAUAACUUCGGGAAACCGGAGCUUAUACCGGAUAAUAUUUUGAACCGGAUUGUUCAAACGUGAAAGACGGUCUUGCUGUCAGUUAUAGAUUGAUCCGCGCUGCAUUAGCUAGUUGGUAAGGUAACGGCUUACCAAGGCAACGAUGCAUAGCCGACCUGAGCGGGUGAUCGGCCACACGGGAACUGAGACACGGUCCAGACUCCUACGGGAGGAAGCAGUAGGGAAUCUUCCGCAAUGGGCGAAAGCCUGACGGAGCAACGCCGCGUGAGUGAUGAAGGUCUUCGGAUCGUAAAACUCUGUUAUUAGGGAAGAACAUAUGUGUAAGUAACUGUGCACAUCUUGACGGUACCUAAUCAGAAAGCCACGGCUAACUACGUG